GAGGAAUAUUGGACAAUGGAGGCAACUCUGAUCCAGCCAUGCCGCGUGCAGGAAGACGGCCCUACGGGUUGUAAACUGCUUUUAUACAGGAAGAAACGCCGCUACGUGUAGCGGUUUGACGGUACUGUACGAAUAAGGAUCGGCUAACUCCGUGCCAGCAGCCGCGGUAAUACGGAGGAUCCAAGCGUUAUCCGGAAUCAUUGGGUUUAAAGGGUCCGUAGGCGGUUUUUUAAGUCAGAGGUGAAAUCCUGCAGCUCAACUGUAGCAUUGCCUUUGAUACUGAAAGACUUGAGUUAUUGUGAAGUAGUUAGAAUGUGUAGUGUAGCGGUGAAAUGCAUAGAUAUUACACA
rnacentral:rRNA from 1 species